GACGAACGCUGGCGGCGUGCUUAACACAUGCAAGUCGAAUGAAGUGGCGAACGGGUGAGUAACGCGUAAUCAACCUGCCCUUCAGAGGGGGACAACAGGUGGAAACGACUGCUAAUACCGCAUACUGAAGGAGGGGAUUGCGUCUGAUUAGCUAGUUGGAGGGGUAACGGCCCACCAAGGCGAUGAUCAGUAGCAGGUCUGAGAGAAUGACCGGCCACAUUGUGACCGCGAACCGUCCCAGACUCCUACGGGAGGCAGCAGUGGGGAAUCUUCCGCAAUGGACGAAAGUCUGACGGAGCAACGCCGCGUGAGUGAUGACGGCCUUCGGGGUGUAAAGCUCUGUUAAUCGGGACGCGGUACCGGAAUAGAAAGCCACGGCUAACUACGUGCCAGCAGCCGCGGUAAUAC
rnacentral:rRNA from 1 species